CGAAGGAUGCAAGCGUUAUCCGGAUUCAUUGGGUUUAAAGGGAGCGUAGGCGGACUUAUAAGUCAGUGGUGAAAUCUCUGGGCUUAACCCAGAAACUGCCAUUGAUACUGUAGGUCUAGAGUACAUUUGCUGUGGGCGGAAUAUGACAUGUAGUGGUGAAAUACUUAGAUAUGUCAUAGAACACCGAUUGUGAAGGCAGCUCACAAAAAUGUAACUGACGCUGAGGCUCGAAAGUGCGGGGAUCAAACAGGAUUAGAUACCCUGGUAGUCCGCACUGUAAACGAUGAUUACUCGCUGCUUGAGGGCAACCUUGAGUGGCUUAGCGAAAGCGAUAAGUAAUCCACCUGGGGAGUACGCCGGCAACGGUG
rnacentral:rRNA from 1 species